ensembl:lncRNA
GCCGCCGUGAGCGGGUGGACGCACUGUGACGCCUUCGCACAGCGUCGGCGAAGCGGAGACGGGGAUAUUCGUUGUGAUAAAAGAGGCUUGUUUUGCUUUGUUCCCCCCGACUGGCGAUGUUAAAUGGUGCGACAGUUUGUUUUCGACAGUAGCCUUGUUCCUGUUUCAGAGGAGGAGACACCGAUGAUGUAACGAGGAGAACCGGGACUGAUAACGGAGAAUCAGACUGAAGAUGCUGCCGUCGCUCUUCACUGUGCUGCGGACCUUCACCGAGCUCCAAGACGACAAGAGCCUCACAGCCGACAGACCUAUGAUGACCAAAGACGUUCGCCCCCCUCAGCAGCCAGCUCAAAUAUAACAUAUUAGAAGGGCACAAAGAAAUAACACGUCUA